CCCUGCAGUUCUCGACUGGUCUACCACUGAAACUAAGCGUUGUUGAGCCUGGUGAGUACCUGGAUGGGAGACCUCCUGGGGAAAACUAAGGUUGCUGCUGGAA
rnacentral:rRNA from 1 species